rnacentral:other from 1 species
AGGUUGCUGCACGGCGCGAGAGCAUCAAAAUCCCCGGGGCCCUAAUUGAAAACCUUCGGGAGCCGUCUCUGACCGGGAUCGUGGUCUUGGUUACAUAGCACCCACCUGCUUUAUCAGCAGGCCGCGGAGGACAGUAUAGCGACGGCCGGUGCGGUGCCUUC